rnacentral:rRNA from 1 species
CCUACGGGUGGCUGCAGUCGAGAAUCAUUCACAAUGGGGGAAACCCUGAUGGUGCGACGCCGCGUGGGGGAAUGAAGGUCUUCGGAUUGUAAACCCCUGUCAUGUGGGAGCAAAUUAAAAAGAUCGUACCACAAGAGGCAGAGACGGCUAACUCUGUGCCAGCAGCCGCGGUAAUACAGAGGUCUCAAGCGUUGUUCGGAAUCACUGGGCGUAAAGCGUGCGUAGGCUGUUUCGUAAGUCGUGUGUGAAAGGCGCGGGCUCAACCCGCGGACGGCACAUGAUACUGCGAGACUAGAGUAAGGGAGGGGGAACCGGAAUUCUCGGUGUAGCAGUGAAAUGCGUAGAUAUCGAGAGGAACACUCGUGGCGAAGGCGGGUUCCUGGACAUUAACUGACGCUGAGGCACGAAGGCCAGGGGAGCGAAAGGGAUUAGAUACCCCAGUAGUC